UACCUACUCCCUCCGUUCGGAAUUACUUGUCGUAGAAAUGGAUGCAUUUAGAAAAAUUUUAGUUCUAGAUACAUCCAUUUCUGUGACAAGUAAUUUAGAACGGAGGAAGUACUAC
rfam:Triticum aestivum genome assembly, contig: Triticum_aestivum_CS42_TGACv1_scaffold_515020_6BS